UAGUGGCGGACGGGUGAGUAACACGUUGGAACCUGCCCCAAAGUGAGGAAUAAGCCACCGAAAGGUGGUCUAAAUACUUCAUAAUAUCCAUCUCGUAUGGAUUAAAAGCUUUAUGCGCUUUGGGAGGGGCCUGCGUAACAUUAGCUUGUGGUGAGGUAAAAGCUCACCAAGGCUUCGAUGUUUAACUGGUUUGAGAGGAUGACCAGUCACACUGGGACUGAGAUACGGCCCAGACUCCUACGGGAGGCAGCAGUAAGGAAUCUUCCACAAUGGGGCAACCCUGAUGGAGCAAUACCGCGUGCAGGAUGAAGCGUUUCGGCGUGUAAACUGCUUUUAUCACCGAAGAUUAUGACUGUAGGUGAAGAAUAAGGACCGGCUAACUACGUG
rnacentral:rRNA from 1 species